AGACGAGAGAAGAUGUUUGGUGAAUAUCAAUCACGUGGGAACAAUUAGGCCUGCAAAAUGUGGUCCGACAUUGGAAUAGCGACACCGGUUAAAAUUCUCGUAAUGAAGACAACAUUACUCGGACACAUGUUUAUUGAUAAUUGAAACACACAGAUAAGAAAACUCCUGCUGGGAAUACACAUCCAGAGGGUGGUCCGCACUUAUUACAUCAAAAUGGAUGG